GAAGGUGUAGCUCAGUGGUAGAGCACGUACCUAGCAUGUGUGAGGUCCUGGUUCAAUCCCCAGUACCUCCA
rnacentral:tRNA from 1 species